rnacentral:rRNA from 1 species
AUGGGGGCAACCCUGAUCAGCCAUGCCGCGUGUGUGAAGAAGGCCUUUUGGUUGUAAAGCACUUUAAGCAGUGAAGAAGACCUAACGGUUAAUACCCGUUAGCGAUGACAUUAGCUGCAGAAUAAGCACCGGCUAACUCUGUGCCAGCAGCCGCGGUAAUA